CGGGAUGUGGCGCAGCUUGGUAGCGCACCUGACUGGGGGUCAGGGGGUCGCAGGUUCAAAUCCUGUCAUCCCGACC
rnacentral:tRNA from 1 species